AUGUGGACGAAUCACGUCUUAGUAGCGGCAAUUGUACUCGCGGUUGCCACCGUCUGUCGAGCGGAGUGUCAGACUCGUUCCGUUUAUUGCUACGAGUGCGAUUCGUGGACAGAUCUCCGAUGCAAGGAUCCUUUCAAUUACACCGCACUUCCUAGAGAUCAACCACCUUUGAUGACAUGUAAGGGGUGUUGCGUGAAGAUGGUUCGAAAUGCAAAAUCGGCGUAUGAAAGCGUGAGGCGGACCUGCACGUCGCAAUUACAAAUAAACUUAUUCAUGGUGGACCACGUGUGCAUGAUGGAAAGUACCGGCACUGGUCACAUGUGCUUCUGUGAGGAGGAUAUGUGCAAUCACGUCUCCCCGACCUCGUGUUCGAAUCCUGUACUCCUGUUAAUCCUAAUGACCAUCCUUAUACUACGCUCGGUCGUGUUAGGGACCCCAGCUUGCUUUGUAGAUCGUUGCAAUGGUCAUGUCGUAUAACCCUGAGUUACUCGAUUCACACGUCAAUGGUAUCGAUCAUAUCCCUUGUAAAGUUUUAUUUUCUUAUUGUUAGUCGGCAACUAGGGCUCUCGACAUCGGGACGAGCGAUCCACUACAGUCACGUUCACGUAAACGGUUGGCUUAAACGUACGCUGUAUCUCUUUCCACGUUUGUAAAGAGGUAAGAUAUAAAUAAUUCGUAAAAGGGAGAAGGAUCGAUUGAUCAUUAAAAAUUGUGUCAAAUUCAUCUGUUCGUUUAUUACAUUUUAUUAAUCAUGGAAAUUGAUACGAUGAAUUUGUAUCGAUGAGUAUCUUUCUCUUGCACUCCGUAUCGCUCAUCCCGAUCCUUCUUGUUGACAUAGACAGUAAUGAAUAACCGCGAUCUGGUUUUAAGUAGUUAAUAGUUAUUGAACUCUAUCAUACACGAUUUUAUCGCGUAUACUCUUAUUUUGGUUGACAAUUCCUUCGGAUUAUUUCUAUAAAACUAACUGCAGGCUUUAAUCUCGUUCCAUUUCGAGUGUUUGAAUUUAUGAAACUGCUUGAAUUAAACUCGGACUGCCAGAAAAUUAUACCCGUAAUUAUAGAAACAUAUGUUUCUAAAUGAUAUUAAUUCUUUUAUAUCUUUCAUUUACUCUAUUUUAUAUAAAUCGUAAUGCAUACAGUGCAAAGUCGAUUAGAAUUGUCAACUAUUAAUCUAUAUGUUUGCAACUAUUGAUUUUCGUAGCAUUCGGAGCAUUUGAUUAUAAAAAUUUGUUCCUUUUCUCCAUUGCCAUUUAUCGUUAAAGAUAUGUAGCAUUGUUUUAUAAUCCCUAGACGAUCGAAUAGUAAUGCUCUUGAUAUCUAUCGAUGAAUCAGUUUGCUAUCAUAUUGUGGUAUGUGGGAAUGUUUUUCACUCAGAGUUUUCACUGGCUUGUUGUUUAUCUCUGUUCCGUAUCAGAUUCGCCAUGUUUUAAUGCGAAGAGAAAUCGUGACGUUACGUAGGUAUGAUACAUUGCAUUUGUUCGAUCAUUGUAGCACUUAAACAUGUUAAUGUAUGUCUUAUUUACUUUACACAUUUUCCACUUUCCCACUGUGUGCACAUCUUGCACUGGGAGUAGUGGACCUUCUCCAAAGAUAAUAUUGAAGUGACGAAGAAUAAUUGUGUCGAGGCACGGAAACAGGUCCGAUCACAUAUUCGUUUUAAUAAUUUAACGCAUAGAAAUCGAUCGUUGGAGACUUUUCGCAGAGUUCAAUUUAGAAUCGAUGUAUUACAUUCAAUUUAGCAGAGAUUUGAUAAGCAACACUUUUACUAUUUGAAAAUUAAGUCUUUAAUCGUUUCAUUGUUUUUAAGAACCGUACGAUAGUGUUUAAAUACUAGAAAUUAACUUUAUAAAUACCACUUAUUAAGGGAACGUUGAAGAAUCAAAAUCAAGAUUGAUUGAAAAAAUGCAGUGCACAAUACACAACAUUCGAUAUCUAUGCAUAUAUUUUGAUUCUAAUUCGAUCGAACGUAUUUUAUAAGCGUUAGCAUUUUUAUGUUAUUCUCUAUUUCCUGUUAUGCAUUCAUGUUAUAAUGAUUGUCGUACUCUACCCCAUUGUUCUUCGUCACUAAUACCCCCUUGCCUAUUUGUCGUUCUUGACGAGACACUGGUGUUUCGAGUACUAUGCACCAUAAGACUACGAAACAGGAAUAGUACAGACGGAGCUUAAGGUAGACUACAGUCAAGCCGCAUGGUUUCAGCAUGAACAUCAACGCCAACAACGUUACGAAAGAGCAGCGACUACGGCCAGCAAGUAUCUACAGCAGCAUUUUCGAGUUCUAGGUUUACUUCUGUUUGAUAGCGCGUGUGUGCCUUUCAUAAUUUUCGAAAGCUGAUUAUGAUAAGAAAGAUAACAUCAGUAGCAUAGAAUCAUUAAUGGAUAAUGUUAGCAAUAUUGUAUUCAUUUUUAACGAACUUUAUGUUGGCUGAAAUUUGAAUGUCAAUUGUCGAAGGCAUUCGCGCGCUAAUGUAUCACAGUAGUGUUAGCGCGUUUUACAAUCACAUAUCUGGCAGAAGUAUAUGCUCACGCGUAGAAAGAAGAAAGUUUGACUGCAUGGAUUGUAGCACUUUGAAUAAUCAGUAUAUUGAAAGUUACGACAGCGGAUACUUCAAGACUGAUUGUUUUACAGUUCGAUGAUUCAUUGUCUACUGUACGACGUCUCUGAAGACUUUGUGUUCUUCCCUUUUCCUUUGUCCUGCGACUUUCGCCCAUGCAGCAACCCCUUGCAUGACAUUUGCAUGAAACUGUUGAUAGUAUUAUUGCGGAAGACAAGGAAAUCCAGAUCCGUAGUCGUUGCUUCGAUAUGAAACAGAUCCUCAAAUAUCGAUUCGAACAUUUAUAAGUAUUCUGUUUGUAUUUCUUUAAAAAUGUUGAAAAGACCUUUGAGUUAAUUUUUUAAGCAGACAUAGUUUCUCUCGAUAUAAAAAAAAAGACAAUAUAAACAGAAGACCAAGUAUAUUUCUAAUGCCAUAAUAACGUGAUAGUCUGUUUCUUGAUUGAGGCCCGGCUUAAAACAUUAACCCGAACACGAAACCUUCCAUUCCGACGAAUGCAACGCGAGGUAGAUCGAACUAAUAUAAAAAGCACAACGUGGGCCUUCAGCUUCGAUCGUGCCACGUCAUUGCGCGCAUCGGUGAAGAUUUGUAAGGGCUUUAAGGCUUUCGGAAAUCGUGCGACACAUAAUGUGAUACUCGAUCAACGCAAGGCGACGUCUACUCGUGAGAUCGUAGCUUUCGAUCACGCAGAAUGAUAUUUCAGGGUAUGGCUGGCACGUCCAAGUUGAACGCGCAUGUCCUCACAGAAAGGCUUCCGCUGUGGAGUCUCUUGCCAAACAAGCGUCGGUGGUUGCAAUUAAAAGCGAGCUAACCGGUGUUUCUCUGGCAAGCCAUGCGGCUCGUGUCGCGUCAUUUGUUCAUUGUUGCACGCGCGGCUGCGAGGCUACUUUUCUCGCGCGUCUUCUAUUCAUCUGACCACUUUAUUUUAUUUCCAGUUUGUCAUUGCCCAACUGCGAAGAAUUUUUAUUCGAAAACACGAAGAUCUUAGCAGACAGAGCAACGAUGGUGCAAUGACAACACUGUAUUAGCAUGUAACAAAUGAAUCUACAUUUUUAAGUUUUGCCUCGCAGCUGGAAAGAAUCCACAUAGCAGCAAUACGAAUAUAUGCGUGCGAAGCAAUUGCGGUGAUUUUGCUAAGACCAAAUUCUUAAGUAGUACGUUUGAAGGACCAGAUUUAUCCAUCUCGAGCAGAGUCGAUUUGGAAAGAGGGAUGAGAAACACGAGAUCGAUACUCUUUCGUCCGCCUAUUUACACAAAAGCUCAUAUCCAAUGUGCUUGCAUAAUUUACGAGGAAAUUACUAUUGAUGUACACUCUGUCUGUUACAAAUUGAUGUUUACAUGCGCCGAGAUGUCAACUUACGUAUCGAUAUGUUCUACAUUUUUUAUUUCGAUGUUAACGAACAUUGGGCAUAACUGAAUGGUGUAUGGCGAUUACAUUUUACGAUUUAAGAUGCAAGUGUCAAGAAUUCCCCUCUGUCUCGUGUCAGUGUCUAUCGAUUUGUAUGAUCGUUGCCCCGAGAUUCGUUGAUUUUUCUAUUCACUUGGCUCUACGUUGAUGUCAGUUUCAUUGAUUUCAAGAUAAUUAUGUAUUAGAAUAUAUUCGAUGGCAUGAGGCGAUGUUCUGUUAGCAAAGUAGUAUUUUAAAUUAUACUUUAGCACGUAAUAUUGUUGUCCCCAGUUUGCUCCAAACGGUUGCCUUAACAUAUUACAUUUCACAUUAAUUUAAAGGGUGUUCUUAUAAUUUUAACUGACAAUGUAUACAAAAGAAAGAAGCGAUCGUCGGAUUCACAAAAUUUUGUUGAAAUUUAUCCGGUGCUUUUUAUUCUGCUUAAUAAUUCUGUGCUAAUUUAACCCUUUAUGCUCAAUUAAAUGGAGAUUAAUUUAUUAGAAAGUAAUUACUAAAUACUAAAUACAGACAUAAGCAAUUAACAAUUUAUCUCUGAUUUCCUUGUUUGAGAAUUUAAGCUCUAACUUCUCUCUCACCACGAUAAACGCGGCAAAGGAUCUUCAAUUCGACAAAAUGUUUUAUAUAGUUUUAUACGUAAAAUUAUUGUUUUGCACUAUCGCAGCCUUUUCACAAAAAGGAGAGUCAAACUCGUAAAGGAGAAAGUAGAAUGAUGCACGUAUCGUUGCCUCAACGGAGUAAAUACAGUAACGGAUAAGAAUGAUUGGAAAUUAAUUUUGAAUAGUUAAGCUCUGUUUAAUGGGGAGCGUUUUAAUAAGAAGUAUAGGGUAAAGUUUCUACUAAGUUAUCUUAGAAUACAUAUAUUAAUUUCCUACUAAAUGUAUUAUAGUACAUUAGUGAUAUCAGAUUAAUACAUGUGUAGAAUAGCGUUAAGCAGUGCUUAGCUAUUAUAAAAGAUCAGGUCUGAAAGCGUUACGCUAAUAUCAAGUACGGUGUGUGAAGAAAUGCAUAUUUUGGUACAAAUAACAUGGGUAAUUUGUUAUUGUAAAAUUGAACACGUGCAAAAUUAGAUUCUUCAUCAAAUCGAAACACAGAAUAUCGGAGGAAGAUGUAUGUAACAUAAAUAUUUUCAACGAUCUCUCAUAUCGUAUAUGAUUACGUAAUAUACAUACUACCCUUCGCGAAUGGGUGAAAUCCUAAAGGGGUUACUUGAAAAUGAUAUGUUAUAAAUCAUCACGAAUGUAGUUAGAAAUGUUAAAGAGAAAAAUAUAUGGAUGUUAUAAAUGUAAUAGGACGAAAGUGUUCAGAAUUAGAGAGAAGCGAAGCGGUGAUAGACGGUUGUAAGGGCAUAUUAUAAUUUAAUAAUUGUUAAUACGAUUAAAAAUGGCGUAUCGGAUCGAGAGAACACGAGGAUGUUAUACCGUUGCAAUUGUUAACGCGAAAUUAUUAAAUAGACUAUUAGAUGAAAAAGAGUGACACGUCUGUUCAUAUAUUAUUCAAUGCAAAUAUAGGUACAUAUCACAUGAAUGUAUGUGUAUGUUUCUCCUUUCUAUUUAUAUUAUUCCGAAAAAAUUGUGUUAUGUCGAAGCGAUAUUUUCUUUAAUCAAAUUAACGAAAGAAGAAUUGUUAAGGUGCUAAACUCCAUAUCCGUGCGAGAUUUUGUUUACCCUAGCCAUUCUAGAACUAGUCACUACUAUCAUAAUAGGCAUGAAUGUAUUUCUUUUUCACAAAUUACUGGGAGUAAAAAUAAUCAUGGCCUAGAUUGGUCAGAUUCAUUGUCAUGUCUUGUUCAUAACUCGCAAUGAAAAUACGUUAUUGAAUUGAAUGUCGUAUGAGAAUGUA